rnacentral:rRNA from 1 species
AUUGAACGCUGGCGGCAGGCCUAACACAUGCAAGUCGAACGAGUGGCGGACGGGUGAGUAAUGUCUGGGAAACUGCCUGAUGGAGGGGGAUAACUACUGGAAACGGUAGCUAAUACCGCAUACCAUCAGAUGUGCCCAGAUGGGAUUAGCUUGUUGGUGGGGUAACGGCUCACCAAGGCGACGAUCCCUAGCUGGUCUGAGAGGAUGACCAGCCACACGGGACUGGGGACACGGCCAGGACUCCUACGGAGGGAAGCGGGGGGGAAUAUUGCACAAGGGGCGCAAGCCUGAUGCGGCCAUGCCGCGUGUAUGAAGAAGGCUUUCGGGUUGUAAAGUACUUUCAGCGGGGAGGCGUUACCCGCAGAAGAAGAACCGGCUAACUCCGUGCCAGCAGCCGCGGUAAUU